AUGAAUGAAUGUAGAGUCGGUUGUAGCUGGCCUCCCUGGAGGCAUGUGCACGCCUUCUCUUUCAUCCACACACCCCUGUGCACUUGUGAGACGGAGGUCUUUUCCUUUAAGUAGGAUGGUCUCCGUCUGCUAUCACAUAAAAUCUAAUUUAUUUAAAACUGAAUGUAAUCUGAUGUAACGCAUCUAAUAC
rnacentral:misc_RNA from 1 species